UUGAAGAGUUUGAUCAUGGCUCAGAUUGAACGCUGGCGGCAGGCUUAACACAUGCAAGUCGAGCGGAAACGAUUCUAGCUUGCUAGAAGGCGUCGAGCGGCGGACGGGUGAGUAAUGCAUGGGAAUCUGCCCGAUAGUGGGGGACAACCUGGGGAAACUCAGGCUAAUACCGCAUACGUCCUACGGGAGAAAGCAGGGGAUCUUCGGACCUUGCGCUAUCGGAUGAGCCCAUGUCGGAUUAGCUUGUUGGUGAGGUAACGGCUCACCAAGGCGACGAUCCGUAGCUGGUCUGAGAGGAUGAUCAGCCACACUGGGACUGAGACACGGCCCAGACUCCUACGGGAGGCAGCAGUGGGGAAUAUUGGACAAUGGGCGAAAGCCUGAUCCAGCAACGCCGCGUGAGGGAUGACUGCCUUCGGGUUGUAAACCUCUUUCAGCAGGGAAGAAGCGAAAGUGACGGUACCUGCAGAAGAAGCACCGGCUAACUACGUGCCAGCAGCCGCGGUAAUACGUAGGGUGCGAGCGUUGUCCGGAAUUACUGGGCGUAAAGAGCUCGUAGGUGGUUUGUCGCGUCGUCUGUGAAAUCCCGGGGCUUAACUUCGGGCGUGCAGGCGAUACGGGCAUAACUUGAGUGCUGUAGGGGAGACUGGAAUUCCUGGUGUAGCGGUGAAAUGCGCAGAUAUCAGGAGGAACACCGAUGGCGAAGGCAGGUCUCUGGGCCACUACUGACGCUGAGAAGCGAAAGCAUGGG
rnacentral:rRNA from 1 species